rnacentral:rRNA from 1 species
GAUGAACGCUGGCGGCGUGCCUAAUACAUGCAAGUCGAGCGAACAGACGAGGAGCUUGCUCCUCUGACGUUAGCGGCGGACGGGUGAGUAACACGUGGAUAACCUACCUAUAAGACUGGGAUAACUUCGGGAAACCGGAGCUAAUACCGGAUAAUAUAUUGAACCGCAUGGUUCAAUAGUGAAAGACGGUUUUGCUGUCACUUAUAGAUGGAUCCGCGCCGCAUUAGAUAGUUGGUAAGGUAACGGCUUACCAAGGCAACGAUGCGUAGCCGACCUGAGAGGGGGAUCGGCCACACUGGAACGGGGACACGGUCCAGACUCCUACGGGAGGCAGCAGUAGGGAAUCUUCCGCAAUGGGGGAAAGCUUGACGGAGCAACGCCGAGUGAGUGAUGAAGGUCUUCGGAUCGUAAAACUCUGUUAUUAGGGAAGAACAAAUGUGUAAGUAAAUAUGCACGUCUUGACGGUACCUAAUCAGAAAGCCACGGCUAACUACGUG